rnacentral:rRNA from 1 species
CUCAGCAAAUACAAUCGGCAGAUUGGCUUGGAAGCAGCCACACUCCAUGGAAAGCGUAAUAGCUCACCGAUUUAGCUGAG